UACAGAGGUCUCAAGCGUUGUUCGGAUUCAUUGGGCGUAAAGAGCUCGUAGGCGGCUUGUCGCGUCGACUGUGAAAACCCGUGGCUCAACCAUGUGGUCUGCAGUCGAUACGGGCAGGCUAGAAUUCGGUAGGGGAGACUGGAAUUCCUGGUGUAGCGGUGAAAUGCGCAGAUAUCAGGAGGAACACCGGUGGCGAAGGCGGGUCUCUGGGCCGAUAUUGACGCUGAGGAGCGAAAGCGUGGGGAGCGAACAGG
rnacentral:rRNA from 1 species